rnacentral:rRNA from 1 species
UACGGGAGGCAGCAGUGGGGAAUAUUGCACAAUGGGCGCAAGCCUGAUGCAGCCAUGCCGCGUGUAUGAAGAAGGCCUUCGGGUUGUAAAGUACUUUCAGUCGUGAGGAAGGUGUUAAGGUUAAUAACCUUAGCAAUUGACGUUAGCGACAGAAGAAGCACCGGCUAACUCCGUGCCAGCAGCCGCGGUAAUACGGAGGGUGCGAGCGUUAAUCGGAAUUACUGGGCGUAAAGGGCACGCAGGCGGUUAAUUAAGUUGGAUGUGAAAUCCCCGGGCUUAACCUGGGAAUGGCAUUCAAGACUGGUUAGCUAGAGUCUUGUAGAGGGGGUAGAAUUCCAUGUGUAGCGGUGAAAUGCGUAGAGAUGUGGAGGAAUACCGGGUGGCGAAGGCGGCCCCUGGGACAAAGGCUGACGCUCAUGUGCGAAAGCGUGGGGAGCAAACAGGGAUUAGAUAC